UAGUGAUAUGGNGCAAAACCCUAAAAAGACGGUCUCAGUUCGGAUUGAAGGCUGAAAUUCGCCUUCAUGAAGCUGGAAUUGCUAGUAAUGGCAGGUCAGCAUACUGCCGUGAAUACGUUCCCGGGCCUUGUACACACCGCCCGUCACACCAUGAGAGUUGGAAAUACCCGAAGCCUGUGAGCUAACUGUAAAGAGGCAGCAGUCGAAGGUAGAGCCAAUGAUUGGGGUGAAGUCGUAACAAGGUACC
rnacentral:rRNA from 1 species